rnacentral:rRNA from 1 species
CGGAUGAUGGGAGCUUGCUCCCGGAUUCAGCGGCGGACGGGUGAGUAAUACCUAGGAAUCUGCCUGGUAGUGGGGGACAACGUUUCGAAAGGAACGCUAAUACCGCAUACGUCCUACGGGAGAAAGCAGGGGACCUUCGGGCCUUGCGCUAUCAGAUGAGCCUAGGUCGGAUUAGCUAGUUGGUGGGGUAAAGGCCUACCAAGGCGACGAUCCGUAACUGGUCUGAGAGGAUGAUCAGUCACACUGGAACUGAGACACGGUCCAGACUCCUACGGGAGGCAGCAGUGGGGAAUAUUGGACAAUGGGCGAAAGCCUGAUCCAGCCAUGCCGCGUGUGUGAAGAAGGUCUUCGGAUUGUAAAGCACUUUAAGUUGGGAGGAAGGGCAGUAAGUUAAUACCUUGCUGUUUUGACGUUACCAACAGAAUAAGCACCGGCUAACUUCGUGCCAGCAGCCGCGGUAAUACGAAGGGUGCAAGCGUUAAUCGGAAUUACUGGGCGUAAAGCGCGCGUAGGUGGUUUGGUAAGAUGGAUGU